GUGCUUGCUUCAGCAGCACAUAUACUAAAACUGAAACAAUACAGAGAAGAUCAACAUGGCCCCUGUGCAAGGAUGACACGCAAAUUUGUGAAGCGUUCCAUAUUUUU
rnacentral:snRNA from 1 species